rnacentral:rRNA from 1 species
CCCUUAGAUGUUCUGAACCGCACGCGUGUUACACUGAUGCAUUCAACGAGCUUUACCUUGGCCGAGAGGCCUGGGAAAUCUUUUUAGCAUGCAUCGUGAUAGGGAUUGAUUAUUGCAAUUAUUAAUCAUGAACGAGGAAUUCCUAGUAAACGCAUUUCAUCAAAAUGCAUUGAUUACGUCCCUGCCCUUUGACCGAUUGAGUGGUCCGGUGAAGUCUCGAGAUUGUGGCAAUCUCCUUUAUUGGAGUUUGACUGCGAGAACUUGCCUAAACCUUAUCACUUAGAGGAAGGUGAAGUCGUAACA